rnacentral:rRNA from 1 species
UGCGGUUAGACAAAUUACGCAUUUAUUUUUUUUCAGUUUUUUAUUUAGUUAAUAAAAUUUUAUUUUUUAUUUUAAAGACAUAUUGGGUGAAAUCCUAUUUUUUAUUUAAUCUAAUUUUUGUUUAUGAAGCUAAAAAAUCUAGAUUUUAAACUGGGAUUAGAUACCCCAUUAUUCUAGAUGUAAAUUUUUAACUUGACCAAUAUGAGAUAUUUGCUUUAAAAUCAAUAAAUUUGGCGGUGUUUUAUUCCGAUCAGGGGAAUCUGUUCUGUAAUCGAUAAUCCACGAUUAAUAUAACUUACAAUUGCUUGUAUAUCGUCGUUGUUAAUUAUUUUUAAAAUAUAUAAUUUUGUUAUUUAAUUUUAUAGAAAAUCAGAUCAAGGUGCAGUUUUUGGAAGUAGAAAUGGAUUACAUUAAAUUUAUUUUAGGAUUGGUUUUAUAAUUAAAAUUAUGAAUUUGGAUUUGAUUGCAAUUUUGAUUUUUAAUUAAAAUGACUUAGGCUCUAAAAUGUGU